UACGUAGGGUGCAAGCGUUAAUCGGAAUUACUGGGCGUAAAGCGUGCGUAGGCGGCUGUGCAAGACAGAUGUGAAAUCCCCGGGCUUAACCUGGGAACUGCAUUUGUGACUGCAUGGCUGGAGUGCGGCAGAGGGGGAUGGAAUUCCGCGUGUAGCAGUGAAAUGCGUAGAUAUGCGGAGGAACACCGAUGGCGAAGGCAAUCCCCUGGGCCUGCACUGACGCUCAUGCACGAAAGCGUGGGGAGCAAACAGG
rnacentral:rRNA from 1 species